CGGACGUGGCGGCGUGCUAAUACAUGCAAGUCGAACGAACUCUGGUAUUGAUUGGUGCUUGCAUCAUGAUUUACAUUUGAGUGAGUGGCGAACUGGUGAGUAACACGUGGGAAACCUGCCCAGAAGCGGGGGAUAACACCUGGAAACAGAUGCUAAUACCGCAUAACAACUUGGACCGCAUGGUCCGAGCUUGAAAGAUGGCUUCGGCUAUCACUUUUGGAUGGUCCCGCGGCGUAUUAGCUAGAUGGUGGGGGUAAUCGGCUCAACCAUGGCAAUGAUAUCGUAGCCGACCUGAGAGGGUAAUCGGCCACAUUGGGACUGAGACACGGCCCAAACUCCUACGGGAGGCAGCAGUAAGGGAAUCUUCCACAAUGGACGAAAAGUCUGAUGGAGCAACGCCCGCGUGAGUGAAGAAGGGUUUCGGCUCGUAAAACUCUGUUGUUAAAGAAGAACAUAUCUGAGAGUAACUGUUCAGGUAUUGACGGUAUUUAACCAGAAAGCCACGGCUAACUACGUGCCAGCAGCCGCGGUAAUACGUAGGUGGCAAGCGUUGUCCGGAUUUAUUGGGCGUAAAGCGAGCGCAGGCGGUUUUUUAAGUCUGAUGUGAAAGCCUUCGGCUCAACCGAAGAAGUGCAUCGGAAACUGGGAAACUUGAGUGCAGAAGAGGACAGUGGAACUCCAUGUGUAGCGGUGAAAUGCGUAGAUAUAUGGAAGAACACCAGUGGCGAAGGCGGCUGUCUGGUCUGUAACUGACGCUGAGGCUCGAAAGUAUGGGUAGCAAACAGGAUUAGAUACCCUGGUAGUCCAUACCGUAAACGAUGAAUGCUAAGUGUUGGAGGGUUUCCGCCCUUCAGUGCUGCAGCUAACGCAUUAAGCAUUCCGCCUGGGGAGUACGGCCGCAAGGCUGAAACUCAAAGGAAUUGACGGGGGCCCGCACAAGCGGUGGAGCAUGUGGUUUAAUUCGAAGCUACGCGAAGAACCCUUACCAGGUCUUGACAUACUAUGCAAAUCUAAGAGAUUAGACGUUCCCUUCGGGGACAUGGAUACAGGUGGUGCAUGGUUGUCGUCAGCUCGUGUCGUGAGAUGUUGGGUUAAGUCCCGCAACGAGCGCAACCCUUAUUAUCAGUUGCCAGCAUUAAGUUGGGCACUCUGGUGAGACUGCCGGUGACAAACCGGAGAAGGGUGGGGGAUGAC
rnacentral:rRNA from 2 species